AUGGAGAGAGAAAUUGCGGAUGAAAAAAAAUGUAGAAUAUGAUCAAUUUUUGAUUUUUUUUUUUUUUUUGUUUCAUUUAUUUGUAUAUAUAUGUGGGGUAGAAAAUUAACUGCAGUUACUUUUAUUGAAGGUUAGUGGGAUGCGGUUAGUGGGGUGAGGGGUUAUUUACUUAUUUUGGUAAUUUGGUGAGGGGGAGUAGGCAGAAUUGGCUAAAGGGGUUGUAGUAUUGUACUUUGUAGGUAUUAGGAAUUACCUAUAGAAUUACUCAAUUCUAAGCCCAAUAUAAUCAUCACUCAAGUCUCAACCCAUAAGCCCAAUCCAUAUUAACAAACAGCCGUCAAUCCAAAUUUUUAUAAACCCUAGCAAUCUUAAUUCUAAAACCCUAUUACAAAAACCCCAAUCUUCAUCUCCUCAAACCUCCAUCUCUUUCUCUAUCUUCUGCAAAUUCAUCUUUUUCUUCAGCUUUCUGAGGAAGUCAUGAGGGAAUUCACAUUACAUUCAUCACCUAUCGACAAUAGGGUAUUGAAUAAUUGAUUCAGUAUAUAGUUGACUGGUUUGAAACUGUCAAUUGUGAAGAGCUGAAGACCCUGUUAGCCUGUACAACUACUUUGCAGCUUUGCUGGAUUACUACAAUGAGGAUGGUUGCUGGUAUUUGUUUGAUGUACGGUAGUUUCUUGUUUGUAAGCAUUAGUUCUGUUAGAUGAUUGAACCAGGCAGCAUUGACAUGUCCACAAGUUCGAGUCUUCGUUGCUUGGACUUGAUACUGAGAUGUUAGGCAAAUGUGUCACUGAGCACAUCUGCUUGGUUAUCUAAGAUCAAUGUAUUUGGUUAUGUAAAGAUUGAUAUAUCCGAUUAUGCGAGAUGUAUAUCGUUUUCUUUCAUUCUUUCAGAUGUGAACAUAUAUUGUAUUGAAGGCUUGAAGCGAUUGAAAGAUACUCUUUUAUGUUGA